GUGUGAAUACAUAACCCUAAUAGGGUUUCUUACAUUUGCUUAUAGAGAAUUAUUUACGGUUCUUUCCUUAUUUACAAUCACUAUUUUCGUCUAUGAUUACAAUUGCUCAAUCAACAAUUUCAAUCUACAAUCUCUUCUUAUCAAUUUAUGGAAGUUAUCUUCAGAUUUCACCCUAACGGUCUAUGAGAUCAGUUCGCCGUUCGGCGUGUCUUCCCUUCUCACUUCUACCUGCAUAGACAAGUGGGGAGAGCUUUCAUGUGAUGACCUCUUAUGGGCGAGCUUCUGACCAACUCUGGCGAUCAUGCUCCAUGGAAGCGAGCUCUUAGUCCAUCUUAACUUUCGAGAUAUGUCGGGCGAACUUCCGACCCCACUUUACUCUCUUCGCCCUAUUGGACCUCCUGCCCAUUAUGCCGAGAAGGUGGGGGUAUGGCUUAUUUGCCGAACGUACCCCUAUCACCCGUCAUGAUUUGAUUGGCAUUAAUUUAAUAAUUACUAAUUAUAGGAAUUACGUAUAUAAGCAGUGAAAUACAUAAAUGGAGGAUAAAU
rnacentral:lncRNA from 1 species